rnacentral:rRNA from 1 species
AAGAGACAGCAGCAGCCACGGGAACACAGAGGGUGCGAGCGUUAAUCGGAUUUACUGGGCGUAAAGCGUGCGUAGGCGGCUUCUUAAGUCGGAUGUGAAAUCCCUGAGCUUAACUUAGGAAUUGCAUUCGAUACUGGGAAGCUAGAGUAUGGGAGAGGAUGGUAGAAUUCCAGGUGUAGCGGUGAAAUGCGUAGAGAUCUGGAGGAAUACCGAUGGCGAAGGCAGCCAUCUGGCCUAAUACUGACGCUGAGGUACGAAAGCAUGGGGAGCAAACAGGAUUAGAUACCCCUGUAGUCCCUGUCUCUUAUAC